AGAGUUUGAUCCUGGCUCAGGACGAACGCUGGCGGCGUGCCUAACACAUGCAAGUCGAACGGAGAAUUUCAAUAAGCUUGCUUAGAGAAAUUUUUAGUGGCGGACGGGUGAGUAACGCGUGGGUAACCUACCCAUAAAGCCGGGACAACCCCUGGAAACGGGGGCUAAUACCGGAUAAUCUUAAGGCUUGGCAUCAAGGUUUAAGGAAAGGUGGCCUCUGAAAAUGCUACCGAUUAUGGAUGGACCCGCGUCUGAUUAGCUAGUUGGUGGGGUAAAGGCCUACCAAGGCGACGAUCAGUAGCCGGCCUGAGAGGGUGAACGGCCACACUGGGACUGAGACACGGCCCAGACUCCUACGGGAGGCAGCAGUGGGGAAUCUUCCGCAAUGGACGAAAGUCUGACGGAGCAACGCCGCGUGUAUGAUGAAGGUCUUCGG
rnacentral:rRNA from 1 species